rnacentral:rRNA from 1 species
UACGAAGGUGGCAAGCGUUGUUCGGAUUUACUGGGCGUAAAGGGAGCGUAGGUGGUGGGGUAAGCCCCGCGGGAAAGCUCCAGGCUUAACCUGGAAGGUCGCGGGGGACUGCUCCGCUCGAGGACGGGAGAGGAGCGCGGAAUUCCCGGUGUAGCGGUGAAAUGCGUAGAGAUCGGGAGGAAGGCCGGUGGCGAAGGCGGCGCUCUGGAACGGCCCUGACACUGAGGCUCGAAAGCGU